UAUAAUUGCAUUUUUACCACCAGGCGCCUGUGAAAUAUUCUGUCUUUACUGCCAAAACAAUGUAGGUGCUGUGCACUGUGAUUUGGGGUGUCAGGAAGGCAUGCAUAAGGUAGCAUAAAUUAUCUGCGUUUUCUCUAAAGUGCAAAGAUAUUUCUAAACCCUUGGCAAGACUGUGGGCCUACAGGAGACAAAGCCACUGUCACAUUUGAUCAAUGUUUUCCAGGUAAGAUGGGAACAAAGCGGACGGAAUGGCUGGUCCCAUGGGGAUUGGAUGACCUUGAUGAAGUAGCGGAUGGGGCUUGAUGGCCUCUGGCAAUCAUUACAGAAAUUCCAUGCUUCGUCUCCCAAGCUUUCACCUGAGAAAGAAACACAUUUCUAUUCUGUUCCAAAGAAGAAAGAACAGCCAAGCCAUUGUACAGUCAUCUCAAGAUGUGAGAGCACCCACAAGGAACACCCACAAGAAAUGAAAGUACUCAACAGCACCAGUAACAGAAGACUGCAUGAUAAAAAUGAUGGACUUGGCCCAGAUGGAUAAAUUAACCUGCUUAUUAAAAGAAGAAAUAUUAGGGGGGAAAUAAAAUGAUUGGAAACCUU